rnacentral:rRNA from 1 species
CCUACGGGGGACAGCAGUGAGGAAUAUUGGUCAAUGGGCGAGAGCCUGAACCAGCCAAGUCGCGUGAAGGAUGACGGCCCUACGGGUUGUAAACUUCUUUUGUCAGGGAGCAAUUGGGUCCACGCGUGGGCUUAGCGAGAGUACCUGAAGAAAAAGCAUCGGCUAACUCCGUGCCAGCAGCCGCGGUAAUCCGGGGGAUGCGAGCGUUAUCCGGAUUUAUUGGGUUUAACGGGUGCGUAGGCGGAAUAUCAAGUCAGCGGUAAAAAUUCGGGGCUCAACCCCGUCGUGCCGUUGAAACUGAUGGUCUUGAGUGGGCGAGAAGUAUGCGGAAUGCGUGGUGUAGCGGUGAAAUGCAUAGAUAUCACGCAGAACUCCGAUUGCGAAGGCAGCAUACCGGCGCCCAACUGACGCUGAAGCACGAAAGCGUGGGUAUCGAACAGGAUUAGAUACCCUGGUAGUC